rnacentral:rRNA from 1 species
AAUUUGAAAGCUAGCCUUCGGGUUCGCAUUGUAAUUUGUAGAGGAUGAUUUGGGGAAGCCGCCUGUCUAAGUUCCUUGGAACAGGACGUCAUAGAGGGUGAGAAUCCCGUAUGUGACAGGAAAUGGCACCCUAUGUAAAUCUCCUUCGACGAGUCGAGUUGUUUGGGAAUGCAGCUCUAAAUGGGAGGUAAAUUUCUUCUAAAGCUAAAUAUUGGCGAGAGACCGAUAGCGCACAAGUAGAGUGAUCGAAAGAUGAAAAGCACUUUGGAAAGAGAGUUAAAAAGCACGUGAAAUUGUUGAAAGGGAAGCGCUUGCAAUCAGACUUGUUUAAACUGUUCGGCCGGUCUUCUGACCGGUUUACUCAGUUUGGACAGGCCAGCAUCAGUUUCGGCGGCCGGAUAAAGGCUCUGGGAAUGUGGCCUCCACUUCGGUGGAGGUGUUAUAGCCCAGGGUGUAAUACGGCCAGCCGGGACUGAGGUCCGCGCUUCGGCUAGGAUGCUGGCGUAAUGGUUGUAAGCGACCCGUCUUGA